GACGAACGCUGGCGGCGUGCCUAAUACAUGCAAGUUGAGCGCUGAAGGUUGGUACUUGUACCAACUGGAUGAGCAGCGAACGGGUGAGUAACGCGUGGGGAAUCUGCCUUUGAGCGGGGGACAACAUUUGGAAACGAAUGCUAAUACCGCAUAAAAACUUUAAACACAAGUUUUAAGUUUGAAAGAUGCAAUUGCAUCACUCAAAGAUGAUCCCGCGUUGUAUUAGCUAGUUGGUGAGGUAAAGGCUCACCAAGGCGAUGAUACAUAGCCGACCUGAGAGGGUGAUCGGCCACAUUGGGACUGAGACCAGGCCCAAACUCCUAAGGGAGGCAGCAGGAGGGAAUCUUCGGAAAUGGACGAAAGGCUGACCGAGGAAAGCCGCGGGAGGGAAGAAGGUUUUCGGAUCGUAAAACUCUGUUGGUAGAGAAGAAAGUUGGUGAGAGUGGAAAGCUCAUCAAGUGACGGUAACUACACAGAAAGGGACGGCUAACUACGUG
rnacentral:rRNA from 1 species